rnacentral:rRNA from 1 species
UACGUAGGGACCGAGCGUUGUCCGGAAUUAUUGGGCGUAAAGAGCUCGUAGGCGGUUUGUCGCGUCGAAUGUGAAAACUCGGGGCUCAACUCCGAGCUUGCAUUCGAUACGGGCAGGCUAGAGUUCGGUAGGGGAGACUGGAAUUCCUGGUGUAGCGGUGAAAUGCGCAGAUAUCAGGAGGAACACCGGUGGCGAAGGCGGGUCUCUGGGCCGAUACUGACGCUGAGGAGCGAAAGCGUGGGGAGCGAACAGG